rnacentral:rRNA from 1 species
AUUCCAGCUCCAAUAGCGUAUAUUAAUGUUGUUGCAGUUAAAAAGCUCGUAGUUGGAUUUCUGGUGGGAGCGGCCGGUCCGCCGUAAGGUGUGUACUUGGUUGUCUCCUGUCAUCCUUGUGGGAACUGCUCUGGCAUUAAGUUGUCGGGGUUAGGGAACACAUCGUUUACUGUGAAAAAAUUAGAGUGUUUAAAGCAGGCUUAUGCCGUUGAAUACAUUAGCAUGGAAUAAUAAGAUAGGACUUUGGCGUCUAUUUUGUUGGUUUGCACACCAAGGUAAUGAUUGAUAGGGAUAGUUGGGGGUGCUAGUAUUGAGCGGCCAGAGGUGAAAUCCUUGGAUUCGCUCAAGACUAACUUAUGCGAAAGCAUUCACCAAGGAUGUCUUCAUUA